GUACGAUCAAAUGUGAGAAAAACAACCGCUACAACAAAGAGGCUAUCUCCUUCGCAAUGCAGCUCGUUCACAGAUACUGCAUUGACGAUAAGGCCAACUCUGCAGUCACUGAGAGGCAGUAUAGAUGUCCUCAUCACUUUUUGCAUCAAAGAGUCUUAAAAUGGGCACAUGUUGUUUGCCGACUCCAGAUGAACUCAGCUAAUGUCCGUUUGAAUGUCAGUUAAACCAGACCCACCAGGCCAUGCCUUACAACGGAGGAGCGGACAGUGUGUAUGAACAACACCAAGAUAUCUGCCUGCAGAGAGGUGAAAGG